rnacentral:piRNA from 1 species
AGGACUGUAGUGGAUAAGCUGUAG